CCCAGCCCCCGCGCUCGGCCCGGCCCCGCUCGGCGGCGUGUCGGGAGGAAGCGCCGGCCGCGCGGCCGCCGGCCCCUCGGUUCGCCCGCCCCCCGUCUCCUCCCCUUCGCAGCCGAUCCUCCGCCCCCUCCUCCUCCCGCUGGCGGCGGCGGCGGCUUUCUCGGCCCGGCUCCCCGCUCUUCCCCGCGGCUUCGCCUCGCUCUUCAGCGGGAGGCUCCGCGCCGCGCCGGCGAAGACGGCAGUGCUGCAAGGAGCCUCUGGGAGUUCUGGAGGGAAGAGACCAGCCUCCUUUUGGAGACCUUUGCUACGGGUGAAGACCGUCAAACAAGUCAAGCAGAUACAGCAGGAGCUCAGAAGUUUUACAUCAAGAUCGCACAAAGGAAGCAAGGAGACUCCCACAUCUUUCAGCGAGAAGAAAGGAGGCAGUGGAGCAGACUAAUACGGACUUGUGUCUGGUGGCCUUGCAGUACAAAGGCUGCCUUUAAAAGAGAAGCGCAGCGUUAUUUAAUGAGCUGUGAGAUGAGGCGCUGCUGCUAACGCUCAGAUCCCUGGAUUCAUCGGCUAUUCAUUGUGCUUAAUGUACAUGUUUCUACACCGUGCGUUUAGGAGAUCCCAGAGAAGAAUCCAAAACGGCUG
rnacentral:lncRNA from 1 species